AUGAGUUGCCUCAGCUGGAACUGCCGGGGGCUUGGGAACCCCGAGGCAGUUCGGGAGCUUCGCAACAUUGUGAAGCAGGAAGGACCCGGUCUCUUAUUUCUUAUGGAGACCAAAAUUUUAGCCAAGCGAGUGGAGAAUCUUCAGAACUCCCUUGGUUUUGCAGGAUGUGUUGCGGUGAGCAGCGUUGGACUCAGUGGAGGACUAGGUUUGUUCUGGUCUGCUGAGCUCGAUGUUGAGCUCAAAAAUUACAGUUCUGCCCAUAUAGAUGUUAUGGUGCAGCGGAAGAAUGACACGUCCAAAAAGUGGCGUGUUACUGGAUUCUAUGGAGCUCCAUGCGUGGAAGAUAGAUGCCACAGUUGGAGAUUCAUGAGAACAUUGUUUGCUAUCCAGCAUGAAGCUUGGAUGUGCAUCGGGGAUUUCAACGAAACUUUAUUCGGCUCGGAACACUUCUCUCUCUCACCAAGACCUGAGUGGCAGAUGAAAGCGUUCCGGUAG
rnacentral:rRNA from 1 species